AUCACGGAAAGGAACCUUCGUGCACUUAGAACUCCUCUUAGGUUAGGAGUCUUUAUUCUCUGCCAUUUUUAAGCAUUAAUUUAAAAUUUAAUUCUAUAAAAGAAGCUAUCAUCCUUUAUGAUAUAUCAUGCAAGGGAAUUUUGUGCCUUGGAACUCCUUUUAGGUUUAGGAAUCUCUUCUUUGUUAUAGAAUUUCUUUGUUUUUUUUUAGGUUUAGGUUUGAUGUCUUCUCUAUUUAAGGCAUCUGCGCAUAUCAACCUCAUGAUUAAUACAAGGUUUGAUGUCUUCUCUAUUUAAGAUAUCUGCGUAUAUUAAUCUCAUGAUUAACACAAAGGUACUAGAAUUUCGGUUGCUAUUUUAUAUUAAUGUUGUCUAUUAUAUCAUGUAUAGAGAAUUCAAUUUUUGUGCAGUUUUGGCUUGUCGAAGUAGAAAUCCUUUCGAUUGCUCUCUCGCUUGAGGAACUUAUCAUUUUUGUAGUUCAUUAUCUUUUUUCACAAUUUUUAUUUACAGACGGCACAAAGAAAAUUUUAAGGGAAAAUUUCACAGACCUCCCCUCACGUUUUGCUUCGUUUCACUGGCCUCCCUAAGAUCAUGCUCUUUUAUUAAUUCUUUUUUUUUUUCAAUAUCUCCUUUCUGGAAAACUGAAAAUAAAAUACGUCAAACUGCUCUUCAGUCUUCUCAGCAGUCCCUCUGAGGGCAGAGAGCUCAUUCAAUAGUGAGGCAAAAAGGGCUAUUGCUGCUUUAUUAACUGACAAAUGAGGGUUGAGUUUGGUAGGAAUGAAGUCAAAAGGAACUUGGAAACUUUUAAGAGCUUUUGAAGAGACCAUUUCUUUCUGAACAAUACAAGUGGGGGAGGAUAUAAAAGUAAUAAUAGCACCAUUAUUUGAUGGUAGGAAUAAACUUUAAACAAAAUUGGAACCGGGUUAAUUUGCUGAUUGUGCAAAUAAGUAUGACUAAUGAGGUCAGAGAUAGUAACCCAAGAAUGAUGAAAUAGAUCGGAGCUCACAACCAAGUUUGCCAAAUAGAGCUCUGCUUCUUUGGUGUGUAUUAGAAUAAUACUAUCUCUACUAUGGAUAAACCACCUACUAUAUAUCAGAAGCAGUUCAAGCAGACGAGGAAGGAACAAUUACUACAAAAAAAGUCCAGUGUUUUGGUGUAACAAACUGAGUAGUUUUGAAUUUUUUUGUGUACUGACUACUACUCAUGCACAUGCUACUACUUCUGUAACGACGUAAUGUCAAUAAAAUUGUUUUGUUGAUCAAAACAACAAGAAUAUGGUUAUAUAAUGCAAUUAUUUUUGGA